rnacentral:rRNA from 1 species
GAUGAACGCUGGCGGCGUGCCUAAUACAUGCAAGUCGAGCGGACGGACGCGAAGCUUGCUUCUCUGAUGUUAGCGGCGGACGGGUGAGUCACACGUGGAUAACCUACCUAUCAGUCUGGGAUAACUUCGGGACACCGGAGCUAACACCGGAUAAUAUUUUGCACCGCAUGGUUCAAUAGUGAAAUACGGUCUUUCUGUCACUUAUAGAUGGAUACGCGCUGCAUUAGCUGGUUGUUAAGGUAACGGCUUAUCAAGGCAACGAUGCAUAGCCGACCUGAGAGAGUGAUAGGCCACACUGGAACUGGGACACGGACCUGGCUCCUGCGGGAGGCCGCAGUCGGGAAUCGGCGGCAGUGGGCGAGAGCCUGACGGAGCGACGCCACGUGAGAGGUGGAGGCCUUCGGAGCGUGAUGCUCUCUUAUGGGUGAAGAACAGAUGUGUCAGUAGCUGUGCACAGCUUGACGGUACCUGAUCAGGAAGCCACGGCUAACUACGUG